UCACUAAUAGGAUCUAGACUCCUGAACGAGAGUGGGUAUAUCUUAAUUUAUUCAGUCUUGGCAAUUGUUUCAUAAAGUUUUGAAAUCACAGGAUAUUAAGAUCAAGGAAGUCUAAUGUGAAAAUGAUUAAUGAUUAUGAGAUGAAUACUUGCAUAUCAGUUUGUGYGAGUGGAAAAAUUGGUUUGGAUGAUUGCAUCAACAUUUUGAAAGUGAACACUGUACUACAAUGGCUUCCCAGUAUUUUUAUGGAAUAACUGGUUGGAAACCAGUUUGGUAAGAAGAAGUGCUCAUAAUGAAGAUUGAAGAAUGAGAAGAGGAUGUUCAACCUCUUUACAAAGCAUAAAGAAGCAGAUCAGCAAAAUUAAAACUUCUUAGACCUUGCCAAUCUCUUUAAAUUUCCAAUUCUCCUCAAUGCAAGGAAGAG